rnacentral:rRNA from 1 species
UAAUACAUGCAAGUCGAGCGCAGGAAGUUAUCUGAUCCUCUUUUAGAGGUGACGAUAAUGGAAUGAGCGGCGGACGGGUGAGUAACACGUAGGCAACCUGCCUGUAAGACUGGGAUAACUCGUGGAAACGCGAGCUAAUACCGGAUAACACUUUUCAUCUCCUGAUGAGAAGUUGAAAGGCGGCUUUUGCUGUCACUUACAGAUGGGCCUGCGGCGCAUUAGCUAGUUGGUAAGGUAAUGGCUUACCAAGGCGACGAUGCGUAGCCGACCUGAGAGGGUGAUCGGCCACACUGGGACUGAGACACGGCCCAGACUCCUACGGGAGGCAGCAGUAGGGAAUCUUCCGCAAUGGACGAAAGUCUGACGGAGCAACGCCGCGUGAGUGAUGAAGGUUUUCGGAUCGUAAAACUCUGUUGUUAGGGAAGAACAAGUGCCAUAGUAACUGAUGGCACCUUGACGGUACCUAACCAGAAAGCCACGGCUAACUACGUGCCAGCAGCCGCGGUAAUACGUAGGUGGCAAGCGUUGUCCGGAAUUAUUGGGCGUAAAGCGCUCGCAGGCGGUUCUUUAAGUCUGAUGUGAAAUCUUACGGCUCAACCGUAAACGUGCAUUGGAAACUGGGGAACUUGAGUGCAGAAGAGGAGAGUGGAAUUCCACGUGUAGCGGUGAAAUGCGUAGAGAUGUGGAGGAACACCAGUGGCGAAGGCGACUCUCUGGUCUGUAACUGACGC